GCACCAACCACUUAGGCAAAUUAGUGAUUUCAGUAACUUAGUAUUUCAGUAACUGGCGCUCACAGGCAAAUGCGUAAUGGAUUAACCCCAUAUUAUUUAAAUGCUUCCAAAAAGCUAUAGGAAAAUGGCCAUGAAAAACAAACUGACAAAUUUAGCCAACAGGCCACUAUUUGACAAUUCUGCAAGCUUAUUUUUAAAAUUCAGCUUAUCAAAACUGCCAUUCCAGAAGCCAGGGACCUGAGUUUCCAUAGAGGAUGGAGUAGAAUGGAGGGGCCUCUGUAUAAAUCUACCUCCUCGGGAACUGGGACAGUUCAGCAUUCACCAGAGUAACAUAUGAAGAAACAGGAGAUUCCUACAUGCUCCUGGGGAUCCAGAAGAGAGACCACUCACAUGACUGGAAGAUUUCCAGCUCAGGUAACCACAAAGGCCAUAUAUUUGGUGAAUACAUGCAAUGUUAGUUAGAAUAAAACCAAAUUUCUCUGAAUAAUAUAAAGUCAUUACUAAUAAAACUUUUAUAGAUUUUUCUCUGAAGAAAUUUCCAGGAAGGUGUUAAGAGAAAGCCCUACAAUUAAGGUAUGGAGGCUGGCUGCAGGCCCUGAAAGCUACUCUGACGAGCAAUGACUUAAUGCUGAUAGUGGGAAGUCUCUUGCCCACUGCAGGAUACAGAGAAUUCUUCCUCAACCCGAGGCUUCUGCUCAUUCACUCCCUUCUCAGCAGGUCCCUUCUUCUCUGAGGGCUGAUGCAUCCCAGCCUUCUGCUGGGACAUUUUCUCAUGAAGAGCUCUCUUACAGCCGUCUUUGAAAGGAAGGACAGAGAAGAAAGAUGUCUAUGUCUUCACAAUGGCCAGGCUUUUCUCCAAAACUACCUAAAGCAAUUGAAACAAAAUUAUGGCUUACAGAGGUUAGAUUAUUAGUGGAGAUCCCGUAGGACGAUAGAAUCUCAAGAGCAGAGCCUACCAGGAAGUAGAGUGAAGCCUACAACUUCCUCAGCCAUGAGGACCCAACAAUCCACUGGGUAAAAGAAAGAUGCAGCAAGUGCUGGGGUGGG
rnacentral:lncRNA from 1 species